CCCCAGGAAAAGUCCCGUUUUCCUAAAUUUAUACAAACAAACCAGCGAAGAAUAACAAAUCGAUAAACGGAAAGUAAGUUUUGGCUUUAUUCUUUGUCCUUGUUUAACAAAAUCGAUUUAACGGAGCUGUGUCAGCGCGUGCAUGUGCAUCCUACGUGUUUCUAACACUAAGUAUAAAUUAUUGUUAAUAUUUUUUACAUUUUUUUUUCCGUUUUUUCCCUCUUUUAUUUCAAAUACAAAUAUAGUUAGCGUACAUUUUAGAACAAAUUAGUUUAGAUGCUCAGGAUGCAGGAAAUGGCAUUUCUGGGCUUCAAAUUUCAAAAAUGUUCUGUGGGAGUAUGCCCUCAGACCCCCCUAUCCAUGCGUAGUAUGUUGGCCACACGCGUCAACGCAUGACCCACGGCCAUUGCCAUCCCCUUUAAUGAGUAAUGGAUAAAUUAGUGUUAAUAUUUUUAAAAUUUUUUCUGCAUUUUUCCCUUCUAUUAUUUCAAAUACAUGUAUAGUUAGCAUAAAUUUUAGAGCAAAUUUAGAUGCUCAGAAUGCAGGAAAUGGCAUUUCCCGGCUUCAAAUUUCAAAAAUUUUCUGGGGGAGCAUGUCCCCAGACCCCCCUAUUCAUGCGUAGUAUGUCGGCCACACACGUAGCCUUCGGUCAUUGCUAUCCCCCUCUAAUAUAUUAUCUCA